GACGAACCGUGCAAACGUUGUUCGGAAUCACUGGGCGUAAAGGGCGCGUAGGCGGUCAGCACAAGUCAGUUGUGAAAUCUCCGGGCUUAACUCGGAAAGGUCAACUGAUACUGUGCGACUAGAGUGCAGAAGGGGCAACUGGAAUUCUCGGUGUAGCGGUGAAAUGCGUAGAUAUCGAGAGGAACACCUGCGGCGAAGGCGGGUUGCUGGGCUGACACUGACGCUGAUGCGCGAAAGCCAGGGGAGCGAACAGG
rnacentral:rRNA from 1 species